GAGAAUGUUGGCAUGAGUAGCGAGAUGUGGGUGGGAAUCCCACAGGCCGUAAACCCAAGGUUUCCAGGGGAAGGUUCGUCCGCCCUGGGUUAGUCGGGACCUAAGCUGAGGCCGAAAGGCGUAGGGGAUGGACAACAGGUUGAUAUUCCUGUACUACCGAUAACCGUUUGAGAGAAGGGAUGACACAGUAGGAUAAGCUAAGCACACUGUUGGUUAUGUGUGCCCAAGCAUUGAGGCAGUCAAAGUAGGCAAA
rnacentral:rRNA from 1 species